rnacentral:rRNA from 1 species
AAUGGGCGAAAGCCUGAUGCAGCGACGCCGCGUGAGGGAUGACGGCCUUCGGGUUGUAAACCUCUUUCAGCAGGGACGAAGCGCAAGUGACGGUACCUGCAGAAGAAGCACCGGCUAACUACGUGCCAGCAGCCGCGGUAAUACGUAGGGUGCAAGCGUUGUCCGGAAUUACUGGGCGUAAAGAGUUCGUAGGCGGUUUGUCGCGUCGUUUGUGAAAACCAGCAGCUCAACUGCUGGCUUGCAGGCGAUACGGGCAGACUUGAGUACUGCAGGGGAGACUGGAAUUCCUGGUGUAGCGGUGAAAUGCGCAGAUAUCAGGAGGAACACCGGUGGCGAAGGCGGGUCUCUGGGCAGUAACUGACGCUGAGGAACGAAAGCGUGGGUAGCGAA